GGGCCGUUAGCUCAAUCGGCAGAGCAGCGGACUUUUAAUCCGCGGGUUCAGGGUUCGAUCCCCUGGCGGCCUA
rnacentral:tRNA from 1 species